rnacentral:rRNA from 1 species
UGCAAACUGCGAAUACCGGAGAAUGUUAUCACGGGAGACACACGGCGGGUGCUAACGUCCGUCGUGAAGAGGGAAACAACCCAGACCGCCAGCUAAGGUCCCAAAGUCAUGGUUAAGUGGGAAACGAUGUGGGAAGGCCCAGACAGCCAGGAUGUUGGCUUAGAAGCAGCCAUCAUUUAAAGAAAGCGUAAUAGCUCACUGGUCGAGUCGGCCUGCGCGGAAGAUGUAACGGGGCUAAACCAUGCACCGAAGCUGCGGCAGCGACACUGUGUGUUGUUGGGUAGGGGAGCGUUCUGUAAGCCUGCGAAGGUGUGCUGUGAGGCAUGCUGGAGGUAUCAGAAGUGCGAAUGCUGACAUAAGUAACGAUAAAGCGGGUGAAAAGCCCGCUCGCCGGAAGACCAAGGGUUCCUGUCCAACGUUAAUCGGGGCAGGGUGAGUCGACCCCUAAGGCGAGGCCGAAAGGCGUAGUCGAUGGGAAACAGGUUAAUAUUCCUGUACUUGGUGUUACUGCGAAGGGGGGACGGAGAAGGCUAUGUUGGCCGGGCGACGGUUGUCCCGGUUUAAGCGUGUAGGCUGGUUUUCCAGGCAAAUCCGGAAAAUCAAGGCUGAGGCGUGAUGACGAGGCACUACGGUGCUGAAGCAACAAAUGCCCUGCUUCCAGGAAAAGCCUCUAAGCAUCAGGUAACAUCAAAUCGUACCCCAAACCGACACAGGUGGUCAGGUAGAGAAUACCAAGGCGCUUGAGAGAACUCGGGUGAAGGAACUAGGCAAAAUGGUGCCGUAACUUCGGGAGAAGGCACGCUGAUAUGUAGGUGAAGUCCCUCGCGGAUGGAGCUGAAAUCAGUCGAAGAUACCAGCUGGCUGCAACUGUUUAUUAAAAACACAGCACUGUGCAAACACGAAAGUGGACGUAUACGGUGUGACGCCUGCCCGGUGCCGGAAGGUUAAUUGAUGGGGUCAGCGCAAGCGAAGCUCUUGAUCGAAGCCCCGGUAAACGGCGGCCGUAACUAUAACGGUCCUAAGGUAGCGAAAUUCCUUGUCGGGUAAGUUCCGACCUGCACGAAUGGCGUAAUGAUGGCCAGGCUGUCUCCACCCGAGACUCAGUGAAAUUGAACUCGCUGUGAAGAUGCAGUGUACCCGCGGCAAGACGGAAAGACCCCGUGAACCUUUACUAUAGCUUGACACUGAACAUUGAGCCUUGAUGUGUAGGAUAGGUGGGAGGCUUUGAAGUGUGGACGCCAGUCUGCAUGGAGCCGACCUUGAAAUACCACCCUUUAAUGUUUGAUGUUCUAACGUUGACCCGUGAUCCGGGUUGCGGACAGUGUCUGGUGGGUAGUUUGACUGGGGCGGUCUCCUCCUAAAGAGUAACGGAGGAGCACGAAGGUUGGCUAAUCCUGGUCGGACAUCAGGAGGUUAGUGCAAUGGCAUAAGCCAGCUUGACUGCGAGCGUGACGGCGCGAGCAGGUGCGAAAGCAGGUCAUAGUGAUCCGGUGGUUCUGAAUGGAAGGGCCAUCGCUCAACGGAUAAAAGGUACUCCGGGGAUAACAGGCUGAUACCGCCCAAGAGUUCAUAUCGACGGCGGUGUUUGGCACCUCGAUGUCGGCUCAUCACAUCCUGGGGCUGAAGUAGGUCCCAAGGGUAUGGCUGUUCGCCAUUUAAAGUGGUACGCGAGCUGGGUUUAGAACGUCGUGAGACAGUUCGGUCCCUAUCUGCCGUGGGCGCUGGAGAACUGAGGGGGGCUGCUCCUAGUACGAGAGGACCGGAGUGGACGCAUCACUGGUGUUCGGGUUGUCAUGCCAAUGGCACUGCCCGGUAGCUAAAUGCGGAAGAGAUAAGUGCUGAAAGCAUCUAAGCACGAAACUUGCCCCGAGAUGAGUUCUCCCUGACUCCUUGAGAGUCCUGAAGGAACGUUGAAGACGACGACGUUGAUAGGCCGGGUGUGUAAGCGCAGCGAUGCGUUGAGCUAACCGGUACUAAUGAACCGUGAGG